GAACUGAAGAGUUUGAUCCUGGCUCAGAUUGAACGCUGGCGGCAUGCCUUACACAUGCAAGUCGAACGGUAACGCGGGGCAACCUGGCGACGAGUGGCGAACGGGUGAGUAAUGCAUCGGAACGUGCCCAGUA
rnacentral:rRNA from 1 species